rnacentral:rRNA from 1 species
CCUACGGGGGGCAGCAGUGGGGAAUAUUGGACAAUGGGCGAAAGCCUGAUCCAGCCAUGCCGCGUGUGUGGAGAAGGCCUUCGGGUUGUAAAGCACUUUCAGUGGGGAAGAAAGCCUUGGGGCUAAUACCCUCGAGGAAGGACAUCACCCACAGAAGAAGCACCGGCUAACUCCGUGCCAGCAGCCGCGGUAAUACGGAGGGUGCGAGCGUUAAUCGGAAUUACUGGGCGUAAAGCGCGCGUAGGCGGUCUGAUAAGCCGGUUGUGAAAGCCCCGGGCUCAACCUGGGAACGGCAUCCGGAACUGUCAGGCUAGAGUGCAGGAGAGGAAGGUAGAAUUCCCGGUGUAGCGGUGAAAUGCGUAGAGAUCGGGAGGAAUACCAGUGGCGAAGGCGGCCUUCUGGACUGACACUGACGCUGAGGUGCGAAAGCGUGGGUAGCAAACAGGAUUAGAUACCCUGGUAGUC